rnacentral:rRNA from 1 species
AUUGAACGCUGGCGGCAUGCUUUACACAUGCAAGUCGAGCGGCAGCGCGGGGGCAACCCUGGCGGCGAGCGGCGAACGGGUGAGGAAUACAUCGGAACGUGCCCGAGAGUGGGGGAUAACGCCGCGAAAGCGGCGCUAAUACCGCAUAUUCUCUGAGGAGGAAAGUGGGGACCGCAAGGCCUCACGCUCACGGAGCGGCCGAUGUCGGAUUAGCUAGUUGGUGGGGUAAAGGCUUACCAAGGCGACGAUCCGUAGCUGGUCUGAGAGGAUGAUCAGCCACACUGGGACUGAGACACGGCCCAGACUCCUACGGGAGGCAGCAGUGGGGAAUUUUGGACAAUGGGGGCAACCCUGAUCCAGCCAUGCCGCGUGCGGGAAGAAGGCCUCGGUUGUAACCGCUUUAACCGGAGAAAAGGCGAUCUCUUAAUACGGGUGUCUUGACGGUACCGGUGGAAUAAGCACCGGCUAACUACGUGCCAGCAGCCGCGGUAAU